CCGUGACGGAGUGACGCCGCGUGGGGGACGAAGGCCUUCGGGUCGUAAACCCCUGUCAGAGGGAAAGAAGGGUGUCGGCGCGAUAACCGCCGGCAUCUGACGGUACCUUCAGAGGAAGCCCCGGCCAACUCUGUGCCAGCAGCCGCGGUAAGACAGAGGGGGCAAGCGUUGCUCGGAAUCACUGGGCGUAAAGGGCGCGUAGGCGGGAUGGCAAGUCAGUCGUGAAAUCUCUCGGCUCAACCGAGAAACGUCGGCUGAUACUGCCGUUCUUGAGGGAUGCAGAGGAGACUGGAAUUCCCGGUGUAGCGGUGAAAUGUGUAGAGAUCGGGAGGAACACCGGUGGCGAAGGCGGGUCUCUGGGCAUUUCCUGACGCUGAGGCGCGAAAGCGUGGGGAGCAAACGGGAUUAGAUACCCCGGUAGUCCACGCUGUAAACGAUGACGACUAGGUGUGGGGUGGGUUAGUCCAUUCCGUGCCGCAGCUAACGCAUUAAGUCGUCCGCCUGGGGAGUACGGCCGCAAGGUUG
rnacentral:rRNA from 1 species